CGCGGGGUGGAGCAGCCUGGUAGCUCGUCGGGCUCAUAACCCGGAGGUCGUUGGUUCAAAUCCAACCCCCGCAACCA
rnacentral:tRNA from 2 species